rnacentral:rRNA from 1 species
CCUACGGGUGGCAGCAGUGAGGAAUAUUGGUCAAUGGACGAGAGUCUGAACCAGCCAAGUAGCGUGAAGGAGGACUGCCCUAUGGGUUGUAAACUUCUUUUAUCUGGGAAUAAAAUGUUCCACGUGUGGGAUUCUGUAUGUACCAUAUGAAUAAGGAUCGGCUAACUCCGUGCCAGCAGCCGCGGUAAUACGGAGGAUCCGAGCGUUAUCCGGAUUUAUUGGGGGUAAAGGGAGCGUAGGUGGAUGGUUAAGGCCGUUGGGAAAGUUUGCGGCUCAAACGUAAAAUUGCAGUUGAAACUGGCAGUCUUGAGUACAGUAGAGGUGGGCGGAAUUCGUGGUGUAGCGGUGAAAUGCUUAGAUAUCACGAAGAACUCCGAUUGCGAAGGCAGCUCACUGGACUGCAACUGACACUGAGGCUCGAAAGUGUGGGUAUCAAACAGGAUUAGAUACCCUUGUAGUC